UAGCAGUUCAAGAUUAGCUGGGGGAUGUGUGAGAAUCAUUUGAAGAAUUCUCAUUAUCUCUUGAGCCUCCUUUGAGACAAAGGAGGGAUUGAAGUUGCACUUAACUUUUAGCGCUGGGGCCAGAGCAGGUGUAUCAAAUUCGAGAUUCCAAUAGAGGCAUAGUUCUUGAUCAAGCUCAGUCUCUUCCUACUCUAGCCAUUUUAAUUAUUGGAGGAAAAUAUACAGGUGCUUUGGGUAACAUAUCGUUAUCU